UAUAAGGGGACACUGAGUGCCAGCAUAUUAUGUUGGCUGUCCACAUGUGUAAACGGCAUGUGAUAGCAAGGGCCGGGCAAGACCGGUGCCAGCCGCCGCGGUAACACCGGCGGCCCGAGUGGUGAUCAUUAUUAUUGGGUCUAAAGGGUCCGUAGCCGGUUUGAUCAGUCUUUUGGGAAAUCUGACAGCUCAACUGUUAGGCUUCUAAGGGAUACUGUCAAACUUGGGACCGGGAGAGGUAAGAGGUACCACAAGGGUAGGAGUGAAAUCUUGUAAUCCCUGUGGGACCACCAGUGGCGAAGGCGUCUUACCAGAACGGGUCCGACGGUGAGGGACGAAAGCUGGGGGCACGGACCGGAUUAGAUACCCGGGUAGUCCCAGCCGUAAACGAUGCUCGCUAGGUGUCUGGGACGGUGCGACCGUUUCAGGUGCCGCAGGGAAGCCGUGAAGCGAGCCACCUGGGAAGUACGGCCGCAAGGCUGGAACUUAAAGGAAUUGGCGGGGGAGCAC
rnacentral:rRNA from 1 species